UGGACAUGGCUAAACGAUGACAGAUAUGAAGU
rnacentral:piRNA from 1 species